UUUAAUAAAAUAUUUAAUAAAAUAUUAUUUUAUUUAAAUUACAUUUUAUUUAAUUUUUUCAUUUUAUUUUACGCUUAAAAUCUAUUUUUAUUUUUUUAUGUAAUUUUAUUUUUAAAUUAAAUUGUAUUUAAUAUUAAUUGUAUUUCUAAAUGACAUUUUAUUAAAUUUGUAUUUUAUUUUAUUUUUUUACAAUUUAUUUAUUUAAUUUAAUUUAAUAUGGUUAAUUUGGAUGGCCAAAUGACACUUUUAAUUUACAAUUUGUGCCAAAAUAGUUUGCAUGGACAUAUGUCAACAACAAAAUUAAUUAGACAAUUAUGUUUAGUACAAUAACAAUACAAUAGUACAAUAGAGACAUUUUUUUUGCAUGUCCUUCUGUUUAUUAUAAUAGUGCUGUUACACACAGAAAAGAUCAUCUUCUUUAUGUCAUACUCGAUACUGAUAUUCUUUUUCUUAUAUAUAUGGACUAUUUGCUUCCCAAUUCUGCUCUUCUUUCAUUAUGUUUUCUUUUAAACAUCAAGGUUACAUUACAGCUAUUGUCAGUCUUUCCAUUCUCAUACACCAAUGCAUGUAAAUCGAGGUCAUCUUUAUUACAGAAUUGUCAGGAUAUUGAAAACAGCAUGUCUAAAAGGGAAAUUUUAAUGGCUAAUUUUAUUUCAAUUGUCCUUGCCUGUCACCUUUUGUACACUGCAUAUAAAUAUCAUGUCACAGCAGUAGAGGAUGUUCAUACUGAGACAAUUCACUAUGGACUUGACACAAUCACAGUACAGAUUAUAUUUUCAUAAUAUCACGCGCUGUGGUCUGAGGCUGUCUUUAGCAUAUAAGACGAUGGAUGACAAGACUCUCAAGUUAUGAGUUGAAAGUGUCAAUCAAAUGAGUACAGGGCAUUGUGGGUAAGGGAGGGGGUAUUUAAAGGAACAAUAGCAAUAUCAUUUAAUUUUUUCUGCUGAAAGGCCGAAAAAAAAAAAUAAAAAAUAAAAAUCUUAUAUGAUAGAAUCUGUGUUAGAAGAUCCAGAUCUAAAAAUGACAUUACUUCAAACCUGGUGGCUGAUGAUAAAUACAUUUUAAUUAUUAAAUGGAGUUAUACAUUCAGAUUGAAGACAGAGCUUUUGUUAAACCACUGGCUACAAAACAAGACACUUUAUGAGCUUUGAAUGGACAAACUGCAGCAGCCAGGAAAUCAAAAUCCAGCGCUGCCACUUCUCUCUGAAGAGUAAGGAAGAUUAUUUUUGUAGAAGACAAGAGUUUUAUUACUGUAAAGAUUUUAUAUAUAUAAAUAUCUAAAAGUUUUAGGUGUGUAAUGUUUUGUUUCUUUAUUUUUUAUCUUUCUUUGACCUCAACUCUGUGCUCUGUGGAAUUGUUUCUGUUUGGUGCAAUCGUAUUUAUUAAAUGAAAUCAGUCCCUGUUAUUGUGUUUUGAUUUUCUUACAGUAUUUGUAAAAACAAUAUGUAAUUUGCUGAAGUAACCUUUAAAUCAUAGAUAAAAAUAAAGUAUCAAUCAAAA
ensembl:lncRNA